rnacentral:rRNA from 1 species
GACGAACGCUGGCGGCGCGCUUAACACAUGCAAGUCGAGCGAAGCGGCGGACGGGUGAGUAACACGUGAGUAACCUGCCUUAGACAUUGGGAUAGCCUCGGGAAACCGGGAUUAAUACCAAAUGGUCUAAGAUGGACUCGCGUCCCAUUAGCUAGUUGGGAGGUAACGGCCCACCAAGGCGGCGAUGGGUAGCCGGCCUGAGAGGGUGAACUACCACAUUGGAACUGGGAAACGGUACAAAAUCUACGGGAGGCAGCAGUGGGGAAUAUUGCACAAUGGAGGGAAUUCUGAUGCAGCGACGCUGCGUGAACGAAUAAGUCUUUCGAGUCGUAAAGUUCUUUUAUAUGGGAAGCGGUACCAUAAGAAAAAGCCCCGGCUAACUACGUGCCAGCAGCCGCGGUAAUAC